rnacentral:rRNA from 1 species
GACGUACCACCCAAACGUUAUUCGGAAUCACUGGGCUUACAGAGUCCGUAGGCGGCUCGGAAAGUUGGGCGUGAAAUACCUCAGCUCAACUGAGGAAUUGCGCUCAAAACUACCGAGCUGGAGAGAGACAGAGGUGAGCGGAACUGAUGGUGGAGCGGUGAAAUGCGUUGAUAUCAUCAGGAACACCGGUGGCGAAGGCGGCUCACUGGGUCUUUUCUGACGCUGAGGGACGAAAGCUAGGGUAGCGAACGGG